AUGCAAUCGAAGAAGGAUUGGCCGGUGCUGCCGGCUGGCGUCAAGUUCGAUCCCACGGAUCAGGAGCUGAUCGAGCACCUUGAGGCCAAGGUGAGUGUUGACAGCGCAAGAUUUCAGUCUCUCAUCGAUUUGUUCAUACCAACCAUCGACAGCGGGCACGGCAUAUGCUACACCCAACCUGAGAAACUUCCAGGUAUCACACUGAGUGGCCUAAGGAAGCAUUUCUUCCAGCGCAAUUCCAGGGCGUUCAAAAGGGGCACGUGGACGCGUCGCAAGAUACAGUCGGAGUGCGGCACGCACGUGAUGUGGCACAAGACCGGCAAUACCUUGCCUGUGAUGGUCAACGGCUGGCAGACGGGCAGCAAAAAAGGUUCUGGUGCUGCACACCAACAAGAACUUCCACCAGCAGAGGACCAACUGGGUGAUGCACCAGUACCACAUCGGGGACCUGGAGCAAGAGAAGGAGCGGGAUCUGGUCCUUUGCAAGAUUUUCUACCAGACGAACACUAG
rnacentral:rRNA from 1 species